GGAGAAGGCGGUAUCUGCAAACGCGCUGACCAACCGGGGAAAGGAAAAGGGGGAAGAGUUGUGGCAGCCAUCUCGUGAGAGGCAAAAACUCGGAAACGCGAGAAAGCGUGAGGUUGCGUUGUCAUGAUGCAAAAUUACAACCAGCCAACGGAAAUAGGUUGUGCUGAGAAAUGACUCAACCAAUGAACUUUUCCUGCUGAAAAUGGACUUUGAACCUGAAACUUCCUGGCCCCAAUGCAAAAUCUUAAAUCAUUAUGCCAUACUGAUUCUCAUUGUAGCAACAAUCUAAGAAUGUUUUAAAUACCAGCUCAUCUACACUUUAAAUCAGGGAUGUCAAACUGGUGGCCCAUGGGCCGAAUGUGUCACACACAGGCCACGCCCAGCCCAGCUCCACAAACGGAAAAAUGUUGCAAUAUGUCACGUGAUGGCAACGUGACACGGCGCGUUUGACACCUGAGUGCUUUAAAUGAAUGGUUAUCAGAGUUAGAAAAUUGCCCACAAUAAAGAUACACAAAAAUA